rnacentral:rRNA from 1 species
GAUGAACGCUGGCGGCGUGCCUAAUACAUGCAAGUCGAGCGAACAGAUGAGGAGCUUGCUCCUCUGACGUUAGCGGCGGACGGGUGAGUAACACGUGGAUAACCUACCUAUAAGACUGGGAUAACUUCGGGAAACCGGAGCUAAUACCGGAUAAUAUAUUGAACCGCAUGGUUCAAUAGUGAAAGACGGUUUUGCUGUCACUUAUAGAUGGAUCCGCGCCGCAUUAGCUAGUUGGUAAGGUAAAGGCUUACCAAGGCAACGAUGCGUAGCCGACCGGAGAGAGGGAUCGGCCACACUGGAACUGAGCCACGGUCCAGGCUCCUACGGGAGGCAGCAGUAGGGAAUCGUCCGCAAUGGGCGAAAGCCUGACGGAGCAACGCCGCGUGAGUGAUGAAGGUCUUCGGAUCGUAAAACUCUGUUAUUAGGGAAGAACAAAUGUGUAAGUAACUAUGCACGUCUUGACGGUACCUAAUCAGAAAGCCACGGCUAACUACGUG